rnacentral:rRNA from 1 species
UACGUAGGGACCAAGCGUUGUUCGGAUUUACUGGGCGUAAAGGGCGCGUAGGCGGCGUGGUAAGUCACUUGUGAAAUCUCUGAGCUUAACUCAGAACGGUCAAGUGGUACUGCUGUGCUAGAGUGCGGAAGGGGCAAUCGGAAUUCUUGGUGUAGCGGUGAAAUGCGUAGAUAUCAAGAGGAACACCUGAGGUGAAGACGGGUUGCUGGGCCGACACUGACGCUGAUGCGCGAAAGCCAGGGGAGCAAACGGG